ACGAUAACGGCAAACCUUCCGAAAGGUAGGGACGCAAAGCUAAAGGGCCUUUUCCCGAAAGGAUGGCAGCCAGCUACCGA
rnacentral:ncRNA from 1 species